AACGAACGCUGGCGGCAUGCCUAACACAUGCGAGUCGAACGAGACCUUCGGGUCUAGUGGCGCACGGGUGCGUAACGCGUGGGGACCUGCCCUUAGGUUCGGAAUAACUCCCCGAAAGGGGUGCUAAUACCGGAUAAUGUCUUCGGACCAAAGAUUUAUCGCCUUUGGAUGGGCCCGCGUUGGAUUAGCUAGUUGGUAGGGUAAAAGCCUACCAAGGCGACGAUCCAUAGCUGGUCUGAGAGGAUGAUCAGCCACACUGGGACUGAGACACGGCCCAGACUCCUACGGGAGGCAGCAGUGGGGAAUAUUGGACAAUGGGCGAAAGCCUGAUCCAGCAAUGCCGCGUGAGUGAUGAAGGCCUUAGGGUUGUAAAGCUCUUUUACCCGGGAUGAUAAUGACAGUACCGGGAGAAUAAGCUCCGGCUAACUCCGUG
rnacentral:rRNA from 1 species